rnacentral:tRNA from 1 species
GCGAACGCCGCAUGCGGCGUCGGGUUGCCCGGUGCCUGCGGUGCGCCGCCGUUCGCGAAGCGCGGCGCGUUCGGGCUUGCGCCGUUCAUC